GGUCUCAGCUCACGAUCACAGUAGGUUCCCAACAGUCCCUUAUUACAACAGAUGUCCUUUAUUUUUUCAUCUCUGUGAAGCAAGAUUGGGAGUUUUUGAGUGCUGCAAAACGCAACAAGAAAUACCCUUGGUGAAUGUAGUAAGAAAUCACAAUGCACAGAACCAAACAAAAGAUAAAUGCAGGGGCCGAAAAUGAAAGGCAGACAAAGGACAGAGAGGAAUUAGCUGCUGGGAGGAAAGGAACUAGAAUGAAUUUGCUGAUUUGGCUGAAUUGGAAUUCCUUACCUCGAUACAGACCUUUAAUUCCUCUGCUUGGCCAGUGGGGAGAACUAAAGCUUGCAUCCGUGUUUGUCAAUCAGUCUCUCUCCCCCACACACUCUCACACACAUCCCUUUGCUUUCUCCCCACUGAGAGGAGACUCACAGGACCUGCACAAGCACUGGGAGACAGUGGAUGGAGGGCAGGAGGGAAGAAAGCUGAUAUUGAACUCAUUCACAGAGUCCAGCUCAGCAACAAAGGAUGCCCUCAAUCCAUCAGCACACCAGCAACUGCUAACCUGUUGCCUGUUUUAAGGCCUUUAUCUACUGACAGUCAGCGCCAAUCAGUAACAUCUUGAAAAUCAAGCACCAGACAAGCUUGGAAGGCCGUCUUACUGCAGUAGUAACUCUUGUUCCAUACCAGUCUCACUUGCUCCAAACUGCAGUCAGUGCCCUUUAAAAGCUCCUUUAAAAAAGGGAACUUUGUCAAUUGCCCAGUGUUAGAUCAUUGGGAAUGUCCUGCUCUGGAGCUCCUUGAGAAGGAAGAAAUAUCAGCAAACUCUUAUGGUAGCAGCUGGACUAUCCUGAUCUGCAGGUCCUUCAGAAAGGGGAAAUCUAUUCCAUGGUGUUAGCCAGCAGAUCAUGCCCAGAUAGGAAGCUCUUUGAGAAGGGAGAAAAUUUAAUACCUUGUUGUUAACCACCAGGCCGGGGCUCCUUUAGACAGGCAUGGUGGGGGGGGGGGGGAUAUCAGUACCCCACUGUAAGCAGGCAGGCACUAGUGUAGUGGUAAUUUUGGAAGUGCAAGAGCUCUAAACCCACAUAUUGAAAUGUUAAACUACGGCACCAGCUGAGAGGAGGAGGUGGAGGAUUGGAAGCUGCCUAAGCCCCAACUGAUGCAAUGGAGACAUGGUAGGGAGCUGUAGGAAGCACUGGCACUGAAAUGACUCAGAAUGAAA